rnacentral:lncRNA from 1 species
GUCUAAGUGCCGUCGGUCUGUUCCUCGGGCAGCAGGUCAAUCUGCCAGAGGGUGAACGGCGACAGCGGUCGGCGGCUAUCGUCGUCGCUGGCCGUCGGCGGGUUAUCGACAGGCGACGACGGCGACGACGACGCAGAUACCGCGAUGACCGCAUCGGAAAACGGCUUGAAUAUGCACACUGUUAUGUGCCACCUCGGCAGGUCAGAGUCGAUCUUGAUGGCGACAUCUCCGGUCGUUGGGUCACCAGGCGACGGCGCGCACGUGACCCUCAUGGUCACUUUGCCCCAUUCGGGCGUGGCAAAGACCACCUUGCGCCGCCGAUCUCGCAGGCCGCAGCACAGGCGAAUGCCACCUGGCGCAACGGGUUCCAAAAGGAGGCACCUCGUGGGGUCAUAAUAGGAUCCAAAAACGUCGGCCAGUGUGCCACGAUCAUCAUCCGAAAGGAGAUAGGCCAGGCGGGACACGAGGCCGCGCUUGAUCUCAUCAUCGAGCCCACUGCCGAGCGCGCGCAGCAAAAAUGCACCUACAGCCGCGUUGGGGGCCGUGGCGGCCUCGUCGUCGACCUUGGGCGGGAGCAAGGCGUCGAGUACAAUCUCCAUAAUGCGGAACAGCAGUUCGCGGUCGGCGUUGAGAAACAGCGCGCAGUCGACAAGGUCGGCGGCGUCGCAGUCGCCGUCGUGAAUCGCCGACGGCAGGCGUCGCGGAUCAUAGAGCAUAUCGACGAGGGUGUGGACCGACGACGGCUCAAAAGGCACAGUCACAUUAUAGACAUGGCGGUAAUGCGUGCGUCCAUUCUCGCCCUCGUAGGCUUCACUGCCGUCGGGGUCCGUCAGGGCAAAGAGGCGCGCAAAGUAAGGCCAUCGCGCGAGCACGACCCGGUGGGCGGUGAUUGUUUUCGAGAUGUCACCAAUGUCAUCGUUGGCGCUGCUAUUGUUGACGCUGUCGUCGGUGUUGGUGUCGCCACCCAUGCGCAAUUUGAU